GUAGGGAAUAUUGGGCAAUGGUCGGAAGACUGACCCAGCCAUGCCGCGUGCAGGAAGACGGCCCUCUGGGUUGUAAACUGCUUUUAUCUGGGAAGAAAAAGGCCAUGCGUGGCAAAUUGCCGGUACCAGAUGAAUAAGCACCGGCUAACUCCGUGCCAGCAGCCGCGGUAAUACGGAGGGUGCGAGCGUUGUCCGGAUUUAUUGGGUUGAAAGGGUGCGUAGGCGGCUGAUUAAGUCAGCGGUGAAAGACUUCGGCUUAACCGGAGCAGUGCCGUUGAUACUGGUUGGCUUGAGUGUCGGAGGGGUACAUGGAAUUGAUGGUGUAGCGGUGAAAUGCAUAGAUACCAUCAGGAACACCGAUAGCGAAGGCAUUGUACUGGCCGACAACUGACGCUGAUGCACGAAAGUGUGGGGAUCGAACAGGAUUAGAUACCCGGGUAGUCC
rnacentral:rRNA from 1 species